ensembl:miRNA
UAUGUAGCUAAGUGCCUAAUACAGAGUAACAUGUUAUGAUCUCACGCUACUCUGUAUUAGGCACUUAGCUAUAUA